GACGGAGGAUGCAAGCGUUAUCCGGAAUGAUUGGGCGUAAAGGGUACGUAGGUGGUGAUGUAUGUCUAUUGUCAAAGGUUCUGGCUUAACCAGAGACAGGCAGUAGAAACUCCAAAACUAGAGUGCAGUCGGGGCAGGGGGAAUUCCUGGUGUAGAGGUGAAAUGCGUAGAGUUCAGGAAGAACACCGGUGGCGAAAGCGCCUUGCUAGGCUGUUACUGACACUGAGGGGCGAAAGCUAGGGGAGCGAAUGGG
rnacentral:rRNA from 1 species